rnacentral:rRNA from 1 species
GGCCCAUACCACGGGAUAGCCCGUCGAAAGGCGGAUUAAUACCGUAUGCUGUCAUUAAGAGGCAUUUUUGAUGACGAAAGGACUGGCGGUAUGGGAUGGGGAUGCGUCUGAUUAGCUGUUGGCGGGGUAACGGCCCACCAAGGCGACGAUCAUAGGGGUUCUGAGAGGAAGGUCCCCCACAUUGGAACUGAGACACGGUCCAAACUCCUACGGGAGGCAGCAGUGAGGAAUAUUGGUCAAUGGGCGCAAGCCUGAACCAGCCAAGUAGCGUGAGGGAAGACUGCCCUACGGGUUGUAAACCUCUUUGUUUGGGAAUAAAGUGCGGGACGUGUCCCGCAUUGCAUGUACCAUUUGAAUAAGGACCGGCUAAUUCCGUG